rnacentral:rRNA from 1 species
AUUGAACGCUGGCGGCAGGCCUAACACAUGCAAGUCGAACGGAGUGGCGGACGGGUGAGUAAUGUCUGGGAAACUGCCUGAUGGAGGGGGAUAACCACUGGAAACGGUAGCUAAUACCGCAUCCUAUCAGAUGAGCCUAGGUCGGAUUAGCUAGUUGGGGGGGUAAAGGCCUACCAAGGCGACGAUCCGUAACUGGUCUGAGCUGAUGAUCAGGAACAGUGGAAAGGAGACACGGUCCAGACGCCUACGGGAGGCAGCAGUGGGGAAUAUUGGACAAUGGGCGAAAGCCUGAGCCAGCCAUGCCGCGUGUGUGACGAAGGUGUUCGGAUUGUAAAGCACGUUAAGUUGGGAGGCGUUACCAACAGAAGAAGCACCGGCUAACUUCGUGCCAGCAGCCGCGGUAAUAC